UGGUGUUUGGUUUGUUACGGGUGGUUGGCUGUCUGCUUGCGCAGCAACGUCCACGCGUGCAUACCUCUUCAGUUUUGCGGCAAGGCUUUGUUUGUCUUGAGCAUAUUGUGGGUUUCUUGUGUUGCAUACCUAAUCGAUGGUAACGUGUGGGUUUUACGAUGUCCCUUUUCGUCAUGCGUCGCUCAUGCGGCGUGGGAUGAACAUUGAAGCGGUCUUUGUGAUCCACAUCGUUGUUGCAUCUGCAACGAUGAUGUGGCCUAUGAAGCAUCGUUUGGUCUCUUGUAUACGGAACCUGAUGUGGGCAUGGAUCUUAUUAGAUCUUGAAUCUGCCCUCGUUAAGCGUUCUCGCUUCUCCAAAACGAUUGUCUGCCAUGUCUCGGCUUGCCUUGGCAUGGUGGGCUACGUCGA
rnacentral:misc_RNA from 1 species